UUCCGGUUGAUCCUGCCGGACCUGACUGCUAUCGGAUUGAUACUAAGCCAUGCGAGUCUUUGUAGUAAUACAAGGCAUACGGCUCAGUAACACGUAGUCAACCUACCUUAUGGACGAGGAUAAUCUCGGGAAACUGAGAAUAAUACUCGAUAGACCAUCACUCCUGGAAUGGUUGGUGGUUGAAAUGAUUCGUCGCCAUAGGAUGGGACUGCGGCCUAUCAGCUUGUUGGUGAGGUAAUGGCUCACCAAGGCGAUUACAGGUACGGGCUCUGAGAGGAGAAGCCUGGAGAUGGGUACUGAGACACGGACCCAGGCCCUAUGGGGCGCAGCAGGCGAGAAAACUUUGCAAUGUGCGAAAGCACGACAAGGUUAAUCCGAGUGAUUUCUGCUAAAGGAAUCCUUUGCUAGUUCUAAAAAUACUAGUGAAUAAGGGGUGGGCAAGUUCUGGUGUCAGCCGCCGCGGUAAAACCAGCACCUCAAGUGGUCAGGAGGAUUAUUGGGCCUAAAGCAUCCGUAGCCUGCUCUUCAAGUUUUCGGUUAAAUCUAUACGCUUAACGUAUAGGCUGCCAAAAAUACUGUAGAGCUAGGGAGUGGGAGAGGUAGACGGUACUCGGUAGGAAGGGGUAAAAUCUUUUGAUCUAUUGAUGACCACCUGUGGCGAAAGGCGGUCUACCAGAACAUGUUCGACGGUGAGGGAUGAAAGCUGGGGGAGCAAACCGGAUUAGAUACCCGGGUAGUCCCAGCUGUAAACGAUGCAGACUCGAUGAUGUAUAGCAUAUAGCUAGU
rnacentral:rRNA from 2 species